GCCAUGGCUAGGAGAGAUCUCACUACAUUUUUGUGUGUGCUGAGUAGAUUUUCCUCUGCUUUGAAAUGAAGAUAUUUUUCUUGUUAAACCAAUUUCCAGGUAACUUAUUUUUAGAAACGUAGCCCCAGACCUUUUCUCACUAACCAGGUAAAUUAGAGAAUGAGAGACUAUAAUAGCUCUUCCGGAACUUGAUUGUUUGUUUGCAGGGUCUGCAAAGGCAAAGAAUUGCUAGUGGCCAGGCAGAUCACAUAAAGUGUGAAAAGGCCAGUGGGGUGCAAGACAAAUGGAAGUGAUAAGGACUGGGGAGUUCAUUUCACAUCUACACUCAUUUUUUAAGAGUAAAACAUUGUAGAGUAUAAACAAAACUCAUUCCUGAGAUUAAUUUGGUUUCCAGGUCACCAUUUGUUAAACUCUAAUAAUCUAACCUGUGAAUCUUACAGAUUAAAAACAAAUAACAGAGGCACUGAGAGAGACAAUUUACAGAGCCAGUUGAAGUGAUAUAUCCAAGUGUCACUCAACAACAACAGGAAAGGAGCGACUGAGCCGAUAUCAUUCACUCAUAUCUUCACCCCUCCCCCGCCUACCACUCCGACACAUCCGUGACAAGCGCUGCCUGGCUCCACCUGCUCACCACCUGUCAAUAUCUGGGUUGAAAAAAAAAAAGACUCCAGCACAUGACUCUUAAUUUUUAUUAG
rnacentral:lncRNA from 1 species